rnacentral:lncRNA from 1 species
GGCUACACAGGAAGCACGACCCAGUAUCUGCUCCUGGUGAGGCCUCAGGGAGCUUUUACUCUUGGUGGAAGAUGAAGCAGGAACAGAUAAGAAAACUGAGACACAGAAAAGUCACACAAGAUUAUCGAGGUCAACACAGAGAACAGUGGAACCUGCACCUGACCCCAGGCAGGCGGAACCUUCAUGACCACACCACACCACCACAGGGAACAGGCAGGGAAAACAAUGGGUCUAGCAGGACAAAAGUGACAUUUCCCAGAGUUUCUUGCUGUUUGGAUCUGGCUGCAGUUUCAGUUUUGCCAAGAAGAGGCAUUUCCAUGAGCUCUGGACAGUGGCAGAGAGGCAGAGGUGCUCCACUGCAGUGUGCUGGAUGGUCCACGGGCUCCUGCCAAUGUGAGGAUUUGCAGCAACUGGUAUAUCCAUGGUCUUGUCACCAGCUUCCUGAAUUCGGGGCAGCUGGAGCCACACUAGUGGUCCUUCCUUGCAGGGGCAGCAGCUGUCUCCUGGUCUCAGAAUCACAGCUGUGGGGAUGCAACCUUAAGCCAAAAGCCUAGCGGUGGGUGGUCCUAAACUUCUUUUGUCUAGGCCCUCUGAUCCCUCUGUAAGUCGCUAUUUCCCUUAUUAAAUCUCUUUCUGCUG